UACUCGAGUGGCGAACGGGUGAGUAACACGUGGGUGAUCUGCCCUGCACUUCGGGAUAAGCCUGGGAAACUGGGUCUAAUACCGGAUAGGACGAUGGUUUGGAUGCCAUUGUGGAAAGUUUUUCGGUGUGGGAUGAGCUCGCGGCCUAUCAGCUUGUUGGUGGGGUAAUGGCCUACCAAGGCGUCGACGGGUAGCCGGCCUGAGAGGGUGUACGGCCACAUUUGGACUGAGAUACGUCCCAG
rnacentral:rRNA from 1 species